GAAAACUUAGCCUACCUAGUGGAGACACUGCUUCCCCCCACCCCCGUCCCCCCAAUAGCACUGGCUAAUAUUAACUAUAGAUCUCUAACAUAAUCUCUGAGAAUGUCAGUAGUCACCCAUAUUUUAUUAUGUGUCAUCAACCAUAUCUCUGGAUUGUUUUCCUUAGUCUCUCCUCCUCCACCACUUCAUCCCUUGUAAGUGAUACGACAGCCACACAGGGUGCAGAAGGCAGCCACUUGAGUCUAAACAAGGAAGAUGUAAACAAUGGAGAGUCUUCAGCAACAGUAGAAGGGGAAGGGACAACCAACGAGAAGGAUGUGCAACCCUCUGACACCAAAAAAUCAGCCUCUGGCUUCUCCAGAAUCAUAGCUGAACAUACAUGCUCACCAAUACUGGCAUCUGCUCAUGAAAAUGGCUGUGUCUGUCUAUGGACUAUUGGGGUAACGUAUUUGACUGUAUUUUUGGAUGGGGUUGGGGGUGAAAGAAGAAAAUGCUCCACAUAUUCAGCAUCCUGCUCUCACCUAACAUAUGAAGUUAUAGGAGUUUUUUUUCCACUGAUCAUUAUUUCUAUUAACACAAUUUAGUGCUGCUUUAACAGCUGUAGCAAAGGGGAAGGGGAACAGGAGGAAAAUCAUGACUUAGAAUAAUUGUAGUGACAACAGUCUGAAAAGGUAUGUAACUCCCUUGGGGUCCAUCCUUUAUCCACCUCCUCUGCCUUUUGAGACACUGUGAUGGGCAAAGCAGAGUCUGCUGCUCCACUUAUCAGAGGAAAUCUGCUCUGUUAACUGACUCUUUCUUUGAAAAAUAAUGUAGCAAUAAUGGGCUGUGUACCUGUAUAAAUGAGUAGAGGGUCAGGUAUGACUUGCAUGUUGUGCAAUCCGGUUGACGUCAAUAUGGGUUACAAGACGGAAGAGUUUGCUUCUAGGUGGCUAAAUUAAGACAUAUUAUUAAAAGGUUUUAG
rnacentral:lncRNA from 1 species